rnacentral:rRNA from 1 species
UACGGAGGGUGCUAGCGUUGUUCGGAAUUACUGGGCGUAAAGCGCACGUAGGCGGCUUUGUAAGUUAGAGGUGAAAGCCCGGGGCUCAACCCCGGAAUAGCCUUUAAGACUGCAUCGCUUGAAUCCGGGAGAGGUGAGUGGAAUUCCGAGUGUAGAGGUGAAAUUCGUAGAUAUUCGGAAGAACACCAGUGGCGAAGGCGGCUCACUGGACCGGUAUUGACGCUGAGGUGCGAAAGCGUGGGGAGCAAACAGG